rnacentral:rRNA from 1 species
GACGGAGGGUGCUAGCGUUGUUCGGAAUUACUGGGCGUAAAGGGCGCGUAGGCGGCCUGGUCAGUCGGAUGUGAAAGCCCGGGGCUCAACCCCGGAACGGCAUCCGAGACGGCCAGGCUGGAGACCGGGAGAGGAGAGUGGAAUAGCCAGUGUAGAGGUGAAAUUCGUAGAUAUUGGCUGGAACACCGGUGGCGAAAGCGGCUCUCUGGCCCGGUUCUGACGCUGAGGCGCGAAAGCUAGGGGAGCGAAUGGG